rnacentral:siRNA from 1 species
CUAGGAUGGGUGACCUCCUGGG